UACGUAGGGGGCAAGCGUUGUCCGGAAUCAUUGGGCGUAAAGCGCGCGUAGGCGGCCAGGUAGGUCUGGUGUGAAAACUCGAGGCUUAACCUCGAGAUGUCAUCGGAAACCAUCUGGCUAGAGUCCGGAAGAGGAGUGUGGAAUUCCUGGUGUAGCGGUGAAAUGCGCAGAUAUCAGGAAGAACACCAAUGGCGAAAGCAGCUCUCUGGGACGGUACUGACGCUGAGACGCGAAAGCGUGGGGAGCGAACAGG
rnacentral:rRNA from 1 species